CAGAGAUCAUACAAUCCAGUCAAACCAUACUGAAGACACACAGGAACUUGAGAAAUGAUCAGUUUCAGAAUCCUGCUUCAGGUGUUUCAGUGCUCACUGGCAUGCAAAAUGAAACUGAAACUUUAUCUCAUGGUUGUCUGUUGCUGGGCAUGCUCCUGUAUUUGAACAAUGUGCCCAGUAGUAUAGACUUCUGUAGUGUAGUGUUCUGUAGUAUAGACUUCUGUAGUGUAGUGUAGACUUCUGUAGUGUAGUGUUUUGAAGUGUAGUGUUCUGUAGUGUAGAAUCAAAGAUGAGAGUCAUGAGUUAAUUUCUCACACAUGCACUGCAUACCUUGGAUGCAUUAUCAACUGCUUUGGAUACAAUCCAAAUAUAAAUGUGUAGUGAGCAGAAAUGACAAAAAUAUUGUAUGAAAGCAUGGGAUGUCUGUGGUACAUUUGCAUUAUGGAUGUGUGGCAGUGUAUCGUGAGACUGGAGCACAUGUGCUCAUGCUGACGGAAGCGAGUGUGAACACUGAGUUUCCUUAUUCCUCAAAAAUGAAACUUAAGUGUGGUGCUAUGCUGCAGCAAACAGAUUCUUCCCUUUUCAGUAAACAUCAGCAUGACAACUGUGGAAAUGUGCAAAACUGUGGUUUAUAUGUGAAAGCAUGACCUGUUGAGGGGUUAGCAAACUGGAGCAUUUAUAAGUAAGACCCCUGCUCCCGCGUCUCAGAGCAGAUGAACUGCACCUGACAAAGAGACUGGAACAUGAGCAUUUUCAAAGUUAUCCUUUUAGUCAGCAUCAGCACACAGUGUCACGCAGACACGGUGAAUAUGAGCGUCCGGCUGGAGCAGAAUGUCACUCUGCCCUGCUUCCUGAACUCCAGCUCUGAGAUGGCAUGGUAUCGACUGAGCUCUGAGAAGAUUACUUUACUCAUAUCUGCAGCAAGAGGAAACCUUAAAAAAGAAGAUUUAGUUACUUACUAUAAUGAGAAUGGAAGUCACUUUGGGCUGGAAGCAGACAGGAGGCUUGACUCGGUCAGCCUGGUGAUCGCUGGGGUCAGAGAGUCGGAUCUGGGGCUGUACUACUGCGCUCUUGGUGUCAGUGCAAAGACGAUGCGCUUUGGGACUGCUGUCCGACUCACAUUUGCAGAUGCUGAACAGCAGCGUUCGUCAGAUAGUGUGGGCUGCAGGACGCUCUUGGUCUGUGCUUGUGUCAUGUGUGGGUUUUGCAGUAUUCUCUGCGUGUGUGUGCUCUGUUACAGGCAAGGUUCUUCCAGGGUCUCCUGCACCAGCUGCGUGUCAGAAAACUCAAAUAUCAAGGCAGCACAAGUACAGUACGCCAGUCUCCGGUUCCUCAGACGGUCCAGAGCCGCGCCUCCCGCUCCAGUCAACGUGACAUACGCAGCUAUAACCAACCACACGUCCUGAUUUCACUGCAUUUAAUCAGCUUCAUACUAACAGAGACAGUUUAAGAAGUCUACUAUACCAACAUCUAUACUCUGUACUUAUUCCAAGCCUGUAGAAAAAAACAUUAUUUAUACAAUACCAUUCAAAAGUUUGGGGUUGGAAUGAUUUUUAAUGGUUUUGAAAGAAGUCUGUUUUGUUCACCAAGGCUACAUUUAGUUGGUUUAAAGGGGUCAUCGAAUGCAAAAUUCACUUUACAUGUUGUUUAAACAUAAAUGUGUGUUGGAAGUGUGUGUACACAUCUAACCUAUAAUGAUAAACAUCCACCCAGUGGUUUUUUUAAAAAUCCCCUUUCUCAAAUCAGCCUGCUCUGAGAUUCCUGUCAGAAUGAUGUAGUUCUGCACAGGCCCCUCCCACGAUAGUUGAUUGACAAGGCUGUCUUACCUUAGACCCGCCCUGAGUGAGCUGUGAUCUGUCCACCAUUGUGUCAACUCCAGUGCAGAGGAAGACACAGAAUGAAAGAAUGACUCGUGUUGUGUUGUUGAUGUGAUGAUGAACACAGCAGUCAUCAUUUACUGCUAACAUCUGAGCGCUGAACACGCAGUGGAUUACAUUUGUUUCUGAAGAGAAUGUGUCCUGAUCUUCAUAAAUGUGUCUAUGUUCACGCGAUCAUUCGUGAUCCAGCUUCACCUCCAGAAGAAGUGAGUGGAAGCUUCUUUAAUCAAUCUUUGGCCUUUCCUAAUCAUGUGCUCGUUAGCAAGAACAGCUCGUCAGUCCUCUGAAGAGAGGGGCGGAGUCAGCAGAGCUCAUUAGCAUUUAAAGGGACAUGCACCCAAACGUCUUGCUGUGAACAGAGCUGUUUUUGACAGGAUAAAAAGGUGUUGUUUUACACUACCACUGAGAAACUUUAACCAAAGUAUGAUAUAGACGUUUGAUUAAGACCCUAAAGAAUCAUAUCAACUUGUGGAAAAUGGGCAUCCGAUGACCCCUUUAAAUACAGGAAAUAAUGUGAAAUAUUUUUGCAAUUUAAAAUAACUGUUUUCUUUUCAAAUAUAUUUUUAAAAAAAAUUUUAGGAUCAUAAUUUAUUGUUUUCAGGAUUCUUUAUAUAAAAAUUUCAAGGAAACAGCAUUUAUUAAAAUAGACUUCUUUGUAAGAUUUUAUAAAAGUAUUUACUGUCACCAGUUUAUAGUAUCGUUGUUAUAUAUAUUAAAUGGUAGUGUAUAUUACAUGUGCUAUGUUACUAUAUUAUGCCUGCUAUAGUCUAUGGUUUCUUUUUCAUUUGUUUGUUUCUAUAUAAGCUAGCUUUUGUAGGAUGACAAUAAAGCUAAGACAGUGAUUUCAGUUCUAUGUAAGGUGUUUUAAGUGUAUUUGGUUUAUAUUUACAUAUCAGUGAACAUGACUCAUAUUGACUGUACGUAUCCAGUGUAAAUGAGUGUGUUGUUUUCAUGAUGUGGUCAGUGUGGAGUAAAUGACAUGCUGUCUGCUGCUCAGCUGUCUGUCUGUCUGCUUCCAGUGCUGCCCACCCAGAGACGCAUACUGGAUUUCUCCCUGGACACACACACACACACACACACACACACACACACACACACACAUAUUAGCACAGCUAAUAUAGAUUACUCCAGCCAUGUUUACAUCAUUACUAUAAUACCAUUAUUUCUUAGAGAAACAUCAAACUGUUGUCAUUUUCAAGUAAACAUUUUCAUUGAUCAAAUAAAGUGGAGAAAGAAACUCACUGUAUCCUCAUGAGUGUCCAACAUCCAGGGGCCUGAAACAACACAAGAUGCCUGUUUGAAAUGACCUUUGAUGAAACCAUGUCUGCAUAAUGCUGUUGAAAUAAUCUUGAAUGCAUGCAAUGCAGUGCAUGUGUACUAAUACCCUGAUCUCAUUAUAUUAACGCAAAGCAUAACAUUAUUCCACCCCACCUUCAUUUGACAUCCUUUGUAAUUGUAGACCUGAUGCAAUGUAUGUCGGCCCUGAAAAAAAAAAAAAUCAAUCAAUCAAUUAAUCAUUUAUUUAUUUAUUUGUAUUUUAUUUUGUGUUUGUGUCUUUUGGCCAAAGAUGAAGUCCAAUGCACCUGUUUCUUUUCUAAUGUUUCUUCUCCUUCUCCUGCUUUUCCAGCAGAUCGUCACUGACAGAAGGCCAACACAAACCAUCGCCAGUAUGCACAAAGCCAGCAGGACGGCCACUGUCACUAAACACACACCUUCAUGUUUACAGACCGUACAGUGCUAUAGUGACAGUUUUUCUUUUUUAACUUUGAGCUACAUUGAGAUCAGCUGUUUGUUUAGUACUAUAACAUGGUAGGGAAAAUCUAAGAACAAAUAAAAACAAAACCAUGGUGCACUCUGAUGUUUUUACAGGCCGGUGCUUGACAUUCUCGUGUAGGAUUCAGAAAUGUGUCCCGCUCCAGCUCUAGGCCAAACCAUUAUAUUGCCCUCACAGUGUUAUACGGUUGGAUGAGCUUCUUAUUACUGAAUUCAGUGUUUGGUGUUUUGUAUGAAACAUUGUUUCUGUAGUCUUGUGGCAAAUCUUAGACGUGUAGGACUGUUCUUCUAAGAGUGCAGUAGCUUCCUCACUGCUAUCCUGCCACACACACGUUACUGUUCCUCAUUUAUCUGAUGAACAUCACUAACAUUAGCCAGUGCAGAGAGCUGAACUCUGACCUCUCACCUGUUUAAACCACAGACUCUUUAAAUAAACUGAUAAUCCUAGAGGUUCACAUACUUUCUACAGCAUAGAUGUUUAAGCGUCUCUCUUUUUCCUGUAGAUUUGUGUAAUGUUUGUCUAACCGGAUUCUCUUUGUCUAGUUAAAGAAUGAAAUUCAAAUUUGAUAUGGGUUGAAUUUAUACAGAAAAUACUUAAGAGC
rnacentral:lncRNA from 12 species